CUUUCUCUCUAGGUUUCUUAUGAUGUUAUUUUUAAACCCUCAUCAAGUUAAAAUAUAGCAAAUCAUAUGAGGAACCUUCUUCUCCUGGAGAAAGUACAGAAGGAAUGGAUUCUACUCCAAAUAUGCUAUGUAUCAAAUUAUGAAAGGUUUUAAUCUAUUAUUUGAAAUUUCCCCACAAGAUGGCAGUAUUAGAAAUAAGUUGAAUAUAAAAAAUAUAAAAUUCCAGUUUGUUCAGGAUUGGCUAAACAAUGCAUUUCUUACUCAAAGCUUAAUCAGGUAUUGAUUUCAGUGGACAUUUUGCUUGCAAAAACAUUGCCAGGGACAGAAGGGCUUAGCUCCAUAAAUUCUAACAAUUGAAUUAUUAUUUUAAAAUAUAUAGUAAUCAUUAUCUAAAUUAUAACAAAGUGACUUUUUUUUAACAAAGAUUAAUGCAGAUAUAUACAAGAACAGAGUUGGAAGGUCUCUCUGAGGGCCAUCAAGUUUAAUCUCCUCUUCAAAACUCCAUCUCAAAAGCAGUUAGUUUUUUGCUGUACUACUUACUUGAACAUUGUUCAAUACAGUCAGCAUUAACACAUGCGAUACAUUUAAAGCAAAAAAAAUUAGAUUGUGCUAUGACCAGGUUUGGAGUAACAGUUAUGGCAGACCAGCUAGAAUGAACAGAACGAAGAUCUUGUCCAACUUCAUGAAAUAUUUUUAAGAAGAUCUUCAGUGAUCUCAAAGUUGAAAUAAUUGUAUGAAGAACUUCUGGACAUCAAGGCAAGUAUAACCUAGUAAUGUUAUUUUAGACAAAUUAGUCAUUAAAGUUUAUGUCUUGCUUCUGCAGACUUAAGGAAUAACUGUAACAAGAUAAUUUAGCAUUUUAUUUUAAAAGGAAAAUACAUGCUUCCAACACCAAUUGAUAGCCUAUUUUAUUUUUAUGGAGUGUUCAGGGUUAAAGAGUAUCAUUGAUUCCUGUGGCCUUAUAGGAUUGUUAUCAGAAUAGCGCAAUGUACAAACUAUUGGUUCUCAACACUUGCCAGACCUCACUUCCUUUUUCAAACGGGAACCACCAAGAACCCCCUCCUACCUAGCUAAGAUGCAGCCAAGACUCCCUUUCUCAUUUAAUAUAGUAGAACAAUGUAUUAACAAAAUACCAGUAAUAUACUUUCAGAUAAACCUGCUGCUGUAAACAUGCAUGUAGCUGCACAGUAAAUUUAAGGUUAGUCACAGAACAUGUCCUUGGCUCCCAAGAAGAGUCAGAAACUGUUUGACCUUAUUAGUAAGUUAAUAGAAUUAGCUAAUUUGUCUACCUUGGAUAUUGGAAGUGUUCUGCUUCAUUGUUUCAAUACUUCUAAUUAAAAAUCGUCUCUUAUUAAAACACUCCGGUGAGCAUUUUAUAGUGCUCUAUGCAGGGAGCUGUGCUUGUAAAUGAGCUUCGGUUAUAAAAGAACUUAAGGUCCUGAUCUGAAGCUCAUUAGCAGUAAAAAAAGUCCCAACUGCCUUCACUGGCUUUUAAAAUAUGCCUUAGUGAAACAAGUACUAGGACCUCAAGAGCAAGAGGAGAGCAUAACAGAGAUUGAGAUGAACUGAAUGCUUCUAGUGCUUUCUAUUGAUGUGACAAUUUUUAACAAGGAUCUCUGAAAUCUUCUAGUCUGGUUCUCCAUCUGGCUUGAAUGUAUAUGAAUAUUACAAAAAUAGGGAGUGUGCUCUCCAAGCUAAUGAAAGAAUGUAAAGGUUUUACAGACAGAGGAAAAAGUGCAAAAACUCAAAAGUAAGCUGUUAAACUGGGUUAUGGAACAUUUAUAAUUAAAUGUAUAAAUGAAUGACACAUACCAAUGUAACACACACAAGCAGAUACUUACUCACUUGGAUGUGUGUAUUUUCCCUAAAAAUGAAACAGAAAUGGGAGAAAGGAAAGCCUUCAAGUUAACUAAGCAACCUAACAGCCACAGCAAGGGCCAAAAGUUUCUCUUUUUGGACCACAACAUUAAGCAAGCUCCAAAGUAACUUUUUUUUUUUUAAUAUACAUUCUAAAUAGAUUGGAAAAGAAAGUCUAUAAAGUUGCAGUCAAAUUUUAUGAUGCCAUUGGGAUAUAAGUUUUACACUUACUCUACAUAACAUUUCAGCUUGAAGACUUCAAUACUAUCCAGAAGAUUCUGAUAACAUCCUAAACCAGGAGUGUGGAGUUUGUAUGGGCUGUGUCAUCAAAGGGUGUAAGAUGCACAGAACAAAUCUAUUGUUUGGUUUAUAUGAAAAGUAUCUUAAAAACAGCCUAGUUUAUGGACAAGCCAUGAAAUUAAACAGCUAACCAGGGACAUGGACUUAUAAAACAGAUGAUGCAUGGUAACUGCCUGCCCCAGAACCCAGUGCUGAUCACUACUCUGGGGAUGCAACUCAAAUUGGCUUGUAGAUGACAGGCAGCCAAAUGUAUCUGGGUUAUCAACUAAAAACCAUUCAGAACCAAGAAACAAGCAGAUUGAAAAAAGUUGCUUCCUGAAGUUUUUCUUCAUGCCACUGUCUUCAGAAUGAGUUGGAGAGCCACUGACCUAGAAAUUAAAUUUUCACAAAAGCUGCACAGGUUUAGUUUUUUUAAAGAUCAUUUUGGUUAAACCAAUGCAAACAGUCACCUGGUCUUUCUUAAUUUGAUGAAUCUUUGCCUAUAAUCAUCUUUGUUUACUUUACCAAGGAGCUGGCUUACAUUUGCUGUAAAACCAGGUUUAAAUUACCAGUAAGGAAUUUGCACCAGCCCAUACUCAAUUUAAAGAGACAGAAGUAGGCAGAUUAGGCUGCACAGCAGCCUAGGAGUGGCAAGGGUCUAGAAUGAGGG